CGAUGCUACCGCAGGGCAGCUGACGUCAUCGGCAGGCCCUGGAGACACUGCUGCAGUUACCGGGUCUCUAGGGCCGCGUCCCCUGACAGGAAGGCGGCGUUGGAGGGUGGCUGGGUUUACCCUUCGGGCCAAUAUCUUCAGUUACUGAAGAUAAAUACAACUUGGCAAUGACUGUUUAUAGCGCCCUGAAAAAGAAUGGCUGCCAAUUUCCCUGUAUAUUACAAAGACAAAAGUAGCAUUGCCUCUUUUCUCACCUAACUUUAAACAUCUUCAAGGAAGUGCAUUACAGGAAGGCAAUGAACAAAGGCUCAACAGUUCAUAGUAAAGGUCAGGUGCCACUUGUGGCUUGUGUCUGUAAUCUCAGCACUUUC